AGAGUUUGAUCCUGGCUCAGAACGAACGCUGGCGGCGUGGCUAAGGCAUGCAAGUCGGACGAGACUUUCUCGGUAGUAAUACUGUGAAAGUUUAGUGGCGAACGGGUGAGUAAUGCAUAGGAAACGUACCCUGUACACGAGGAUAGCGGCGGGCUUCGGCCCUUUGCGAAAGUGCCGGUAAUACUCGAUAAUAUUCAGAAGUCGCAUGGCUUUUGGAUCAAAGGUGGGGACCCUUCGGGGCCUACCGGUGUGGGAUCGGCCUAUGUCCUAUCAGCUUGUUGGUGGGGUAAUGGCCUACCAAGGCAUUGACGGGUAGCGGGCGUGAGAGCGCGACCCGCCACAUCGGGACUGAGACACUGCCCGGACACCUACGGGUGGCUGCAGCAACGAAUAUUCCGCAAUGGGCGAAAGCCUGACGGAGCGACGCCGCGUGGAGGAUGAAGCCCCUCGGGAUGUAAACUUCAAUAGUUUGUCAGGAAGCGAUCCGGUCGAAUAGACCGGUGAGUUGACCAUCAUACGAAAGGGGUGGCUAACUCCGUGCCAGCAGCCGCGGUAAUACGGAGACCCCUAGCGUUGUUCGGAAUUACUGGGCUUAAAGCGGGUGUAGGCGGAAUGGUAAGUAUCUUGUGAAAGCCCCGGGCUCAACCCGGGAAUUGCUUGGUAUACUGCCAUUCUUGAGGCUGGUAGGGGUCACUGGAACCUUAGGUGGAGCGGUGAAAUGCGUAGAUAUCUAAGGGAACGCCUGUGGCGAAAGCGGGUGACUGGGCCAGUCCUGACGCUGAGGCCCGAAAGCGUAGGGAGCGAACGGGAUUAGAUACCCCGGUAGUCUACGCCGUAAACGAUGCGCACUA
rnacentral:rRNA from 1 species